CGGCAGCACGGACUUCGGUCUGGUGGCGAGUGGCGAACGGGUGAGUAAUGCGCCGGAACGUAUCCAGUAGAGGGGGAUAACGCAGCGAAAGCUGUGCUAAUACCGCAUACGCCCUGAGGGGGAAAGCAUGGGAUCUUCGGACCAUGCGUUAUUGGAGCGGCCGACGUCUGAUUAGCUAGUAGGUGAGGUAAAGGCUCACCUAGGCGAUGAUCAGUAGCUGGUCUGAGAGGAUGAUCAGCCACACUGGAACUGAGAGACGGUCCAGACUCCUACGGGAGGCAGCAGUGGGGAAUUUUGGACAAUGGGCGCAAGCCUGAUCCAGCCAUUCCGCGUGAGUGAAGAAGGCCUUCGGGUUGUAAAGCUCUUUCGGCAGGGAAGAAAAGGUUCUGGUUAAUAACUGGAACUGCUGACGGUACCUGAAGAAGAAGCACCGGCUAACUACGUGCCAGCAGCCGCGGUAAUACGUAGGGUGCGAGCGUUAAUCGGAAUUACUGGGCGUAAAGGGUGCGCAGGCGGCUCUGUAAGUCUGACGUGAAAUCCCCGGGCUUAACCUGGGAACUGCGUUGGAAACUGUAGAGCUAGAGUGUAGCAGAGGGGGGUAGAAUUCCACGUGUAGCAGUGAAAUGCGUAGAGAUGUGGAGGAAUACCGAUGGCGAAGGCAGCCCCCUGGGUUAACACUGACGCUCAGGCACGAAAGCGUGGGUAGCAAACAGGAUUAGAUACCCUGGUAGUCCACGCCCUAAACGAUGUCAACUAGGUGUUGGGGGAGGAGACUUCCUUAGUACCGCAGCUAACGCGUGAAGUUGACCGCCUGGGGAGUACGGCCGCAAGGUUGAAACU
rnacentral:rRNA from 1 species